AUCUAAAUAGUUUAAUGGUAAAAUGUUGGCUUGUGGUGCCUGUGAUAUAUUUGUAUAUUUUAGAUU
rnacentral:tRNA from 1 species